AAAGUAAGUAAUAUGAAGACAGCAGCAGAGAUUGGAGCUUGGCAAUAGCCAAGCUAUGUCAGCAGCCGUCAGAAGUUGGAAGAGGCAAGGAAGGAUUUGAGCCUAGAGCCUUCGGAAGGAGCAUGGCCCUGUUGAUUCUGGCCUCCAGAGCUGUGAGAAAAUACAUUUUUGUUGUUUUAAACCACCCAGUUUGUGGUAAUUUCUAACACCAGCUACAAGAAAUCAACACAAGGCUGAUGUGACUUUCCAUCAGGAGAGAGACAGCCCCAGGUGAAACCUGCCUGCCUGACAGCUUUCCCAGCCUCCUCCAGGCUCCCCUGUUUUCUCUUAUACACAUUCCCCCCCAGUAAACUUCUUGUACAUUUAAUGCCAUCUCAGUGUCUGCUCCCAAGAGGACCCCAACUGACUCACGGGGCAUUUAACCUCCAAUUCCUUUCCUCCCUUGGCUGAGAUCUGUUCCAAGAAGUAUCUCCAGGACACUCCAGCCUGUUGCACAGGCCAAAGAAAAGCCCUCAGGCAGAGGAGCAAGUACUUGCAAGAGGACACCAGUGGCAAGAACAGGGACAUGGUGAGACAUCAACAUCAUUGGCUACAGUAGUACUAGUCACUCUUGACUAUGUUGUUUCAAUAGUUUUCCUUCUCAAAAA